rnacentral:ncRNA from 1 species
UUGUCUUCAGGGCAGGGUUCGAUUCCCGACCGGCGGUGAAAGUCCGCGAGCACAAGCUGAACCGGUGUGAUUCCGGUACCGACAGUACAGUCUGGAUGGAAGAAGACG